rnacentral:rRNA from 1 species
UAGGUGGGCAGGUAGAGAAUACCAAGGCGAUCGGGAGAACUGUGGUUAAGGAACUCGGCAAAAUGCCUCCGUAACUUCGGGAGAAGGAGGACCCCAUUAGGGUGAAGGACCUUGCGUCCGGAGCUCGAAGGGGUGGCACAGACCAGGGGAAAGCGACUGUUUACUAAAAACACAGCAGCGUGCGAAGUCGCAAGACGAUGUAUACGCUGUGACGCCUGCCCAAUGCCGGAAGGUUAAAGGGAAAGGUUAGUCCGCAAGGGCGAAGCUUUGAACUGAAGCCCCGGUGAAUGGCGGCCGUAACUAUAACGGUCCUAAGGUAGCGAAAUUCCUUGUCGGGUAAGUUCCGACCUACACGAAUGGCGUAACGACUUUCCUACUGUCUCAACCACAGACCCGGCGAAAUUGAAGUACGAGUAAAGAUGCUCGUUAGCUACAGAAGGACGGUAAGACCCCGUGGACCUUUACUAUAGCUUGAUGUUGAGUUUUGUUAUGUGUUGUGUAGGAUAGGUGGGAGACUUGGAAGCAUUGGCGCCAGCCAGUGUGGAGUCAACCUUGAAAUACCACCCUGCUCAUGACGGAGCUCUAACCCACGUCCCUUAUCGGGAUGGGGAGCAGCGUCUGGUGGGUAGUUUGACUGGGGCGGUCGCCUCCUAAAGAGUAACGGAGGCGCCCAAAGGUUCCCUCAGGCUGGUUGGCAACCAGCCGUCGAGUGCAAUGGCACAAGGGAGCUUGACUGCGAGACCUACAAGUCAAGCAGGUGCGAAAGCAGGGCAUAGUGAUCCGGCGGUUGCGUGUGGAAGCGCCGUCGCUCAACGGAUAAAAGGUACCCCGGGGAUAACAGGCCCAUCCUCCCCAAGAGUCCAUAUCGACGGGAAGGUUUGGCACCUCGAUGUCGGCUCAUCGCAUCCUGGGGCUGAAGCAGGUCCCAAGGGUUGGGCUGUUCGCCCAUUAAAGCGGUACGCGAGCUGGGUUUAGAACGUCGUGAGACAGUUCGGUCCCUAUCCUCUGUAGCCGGAAGGAACUUGAGAAAGGCUGUCCCUAGUACGAGAGGACCGGGAUGGACGCAGCUCUGGUGUGCCAGUUGUCCUGCCAAGGGCAUUGCUGGUUAGCUACCUGCGGAAGGGAUAAGCGCUGAAAGCAUCUAAGUGCGAAGCCUGUUUCUAGAUGAGGUUCCUCACUGGUUAACCAGGUAAGGCCCGUGGAAGACCACCACGUUGAUAGGCCGGAGGUGUAAGCGUGGUAACACGUUCAGCCGACCGGUACUAAUCGGCCGAGGGCUUGGACU